UACUCCUAAUUUUCCAAUUUUUAUCUAUUUGGCAGUUUAUAAAUACUCUCUCCGAGCCCAGUCUCCUGAAGAAAUCAAACUAAAGUUCACAGAGAGUGCGAGAGUCAGAGUGCGAGAGAGAGAGAGAGAGAGAGAGAGAGAGAGAGAGUGUUCGAUCCUAACGGCGGCGAGAGAGAGAGAGAGAGAGAGAGAGCAAGCAGACCUGAAGAACAAGUCAGAGGAGGUGUUGUGUGUUCGUGGACGAGGACUGACGAUGAUUUGAUUCGACUCAGAACAAACACGGUCGCCGGCGUGCGUGUUCGGUGACUCAGACUGAUCGAUUACAAAACAUAAGGUUUGUGUCAUGAUGCGUCUUUGGAGGUCUAGCACUUUGAGCCCAAUUGAUCUUUAUCUAUCCUCAUCUUCUUAGCUUCUCUUCAUGUUGGUAGUCGAAGCUUUAAAAUGCCAAUGACAAAGAGACUGCUUCUGCCCAGUGAUAGGCUUCCUCCUAGUUCCAGUUCUGACAUGACAAGUGAUCCUGAUGUUGUGACUUGUAAGAUGAUGGAGAUAUUAUUAGGGAUGAUGCUGAAUCGUGGACCCUAAUGAUGUUAAAAUCCUCUUCACUGUACCACUCAAGUGGAAACUCGGCGACAAGGCACCAUAAUUCAAAGCAAAACCCUUGAUUUUACUGAGCUAAAUGGUGUCCAGAAGCAGGUUUAGGUUUCGUUUUGCAGGUUUGCUUAAAAAGCUUGAAGCUAAGUAUAAGAUUGGAGAUAUGCCAUGGCUUUGAAGAUUGAAGAAGAUUCAGAACCAAAAAGAUACUCGAAGAGCACGACCUCUUAAGAGAGCUAAAUGGUGCAUGAAGCAGGUUUUCAUAAAGUGGAUGUGUUUGAAAAGCUUGAAGCUAAGUGUAAGGCUGAAGGAAAAGAAGGGAAAGAAGAAGGAGAAGAUGAUGAAGAAGUUGAAGAAUCAGAGGGAGAAGAAUCUGAUUACAGAGAUUAUUAUCAGAAUCAAGACUUCGAUGAAGAUGACGACGAUUAUAAUCAGGCAGAUGAUGGAGGGAUAAUAUGGGGAUAUUAAAUAGUGGCUUUCUUUCUUUCUUUAGGCUGAAACAGGUGUGUGUUCGUGUUUUCCAACCAAGACGAUGAUUUGAAGGAAGAAGAAUGUUCAUGGCAAAGCAAUCAGAUGAUGCUCUUCUCGGAGCUGUUGGAUGAUUCGUGCGGCUCUUGAAGUAUUUGUCAAUUUUAGGACCGAUAACAGUGUUACCACAUGUGACGAGAGAGUAAACAGGCCUGAACAAGUCAGAGGUUUGUGUCUGUAGCUGUGUGUUCCAAACCAGGACGAUGAAUCAUAUUUUUUCAAGGACGUACAAAAGCAUCAAGGUUUAUCACUGAGUGGGAGGGGACUUCUCUUGUAAGUAUGUUGUUGUCAGGACGGUGAUCUGUGGUUUGGUUGAGCUGUCAUGAUGCGUCUCUGGAGGUCUAGCACUUUGAGCCCAAUUGAUCUUUUAUCUAUCCUCGUCUUCUUAGCUUCUAUCAUGUUGUUAGUCGAAGCUUUAAAAUGCCAAUGACAAGGGAAUGCUUCUGCCCAGCUUCCUGCUAGUUCCAAUUCUGAUAUGACAAGUGAUCCUGGUGUUAUGACUUGUAAGGAACUACUUACUUCUUUUGGUAGAGAGAAGAGCUCAAUCGUCAAAUGAUGGAAUUGGAGAUAUUAUUAGGGAUGAUGCUGAAUCGUUGACCCAAAUGACGGUACUACUGAAGUGGAACUCAGCGACAAGGAACCAGAAUUCAAAGCAAUAUCCUUGAUUUUACUUGGGUAAAUGGAGUCCAGAAGCAGAUUUGCUUAAAAAGCUUGAAGCUAAGUAUAAGAUCGGAGAUAUGCUAUGGGUUUGAAGAAUGAAGAAAAAAUUUAGAACCAAGAAGAUUGGAGAUAUGCUAUGGGUUUGAAUAAUGAUGAAGAUUCAGAACCAAAAAGAUACUCGAAGAACAUGGCCUGUGAAGAGAGACAAAAUGGAGUCAAGAAGCAGAUCGGAGAUUUGCUAUGGGUUUGUAGAAAGAAGAAGAUUCAGAACCGAAAAGGUAAAACAUCAAACUGACUCAUAAAAAAAUCAAAGGCAUUACAAGGUGACGAGUGAGAGAGCCAAAACAAGUCAGAGGUUUGUGUCUGUGGCUGUGUGUUCCAAACAGGACGAUGAAUUAUAUUUUUUCAAGGACGUACGAAAGCAUGAAGGUUUGGCACUGAGAGGGGACUAAUCUGGAUGUCAUCGCUGUCAUACAAAAUCUAAAGGAGGUGUCUCUGAAGAUAAAGCCGGUGUAUCUUAGUUGAGCUAUCAUGAUGCGUCUCUAGAGAUCUAGCACUUUGAGCCCAAAAAUUUAUCUUUAUAUAUCCUCGUCUUCUUAGCUUCUAUCAUGUUGUUAGUCGAAGCUUUAAAAUGCCAAUGACAAGAGACUGCUUCUGUCCAGUGAUAGGCUUCCUUACAGUUCCAAUUCUGACAUGACAAGUGAUCCUGGUGCUGUUAUUGUUACUUGUAAGGAACUACUUCAAUCUUUUGGUAGAGAGAAGAAGCUCAAUCGUCAAGUCAG